rnacentral:rRNA from 1 species
GACGAACCGUGCGAACGUUAUUCGGAAUCACUGGGCUUAAAGCGCGUGUAGGCGGGACGGCACGUCGGUCGCUGAAAUCCCCCGGCUUAACCGGGGAACGGGCGUCGAUACGACCGUCCUGGAGGGGCGUAGGGGGACCUGGAACUUCCGGUGGAGCGGUGAAAUGCGUUGAGAUCGGAAGGAACGCCCGUGGCGAAAGCGAGGUCCUGGACGCCUACUGACGCUGAGACGCGAAAGCCAGGGGAGCGAACGGGG